UAAGAGUUUCUGUGGGUUUCUAUAUACUUACUUCGACAAUCCUCAGAACAUAUUAAAGACGACCAUAUUUGUUUUUUCAGACCUUGUGGUGAGUGGUUUUGAAAAUGCUCAAUGAAGGUGGAUUUCACUUUGAGGAUUAGUUACAAGUCAGCUGGAUCUAUGUCUGAUAAACAGAGUUGGUAGUCAAGUUCGGUAACGCUGGCUUUCAUCAAUGACAAGGCAUUCGGUUCGGCACAGGAGAGUGAGACUCUGUCCCUGCCCUUAGGAAGCUGCGGUCCAGUUUGAUAGGAAGACACACAAAAGACAAUUUCGUCAGCAAUGAAAAAGAGGUACACCUGCCAGUGGUGCCCGGAGGAGUUGCUCAGCCUCCCUCGUGUCAGCCAGGACGUAAAAGGGAGAAAAAGGGAGACCACCUGGCCUGCAUGCUCAGAAGCAUCAGAAUAUUUGGAAAUGGGCAGACGCUGCCCUUCAAGUUUUGGUGUCUCGGCUCUCCCUGGCCCCAUUCCUCUGCCGUGGGGCAGCCUCGGGACCAAAUGCUGUUGGAGGAAAACCAGAGAAUCCAGUGUGGGUACCGCCAAGCUCCAGCACCGUCUCCUCUGAAGCCCCUUGUCCCCAGUUUGUUUUUCCGGAUGACUCCGUGGACAUGCAUCUCUAGGGAUGCUGCAGUUGGCUGUCACUACAGGCAUCCUGCCUUUCUCCUACCAGGAAAGUCGUGAGUAAACAGAAGUUCUGUAAAUCGAGUCAAUGUUCCUAGCAACCUCCAUGACCAUUUCAGAGAUGCUUCAUCUUCAUUUCUGGCCGGUCUUUCGCUGGCAGCACUUCUUACCUAAUCUGUCCCAUAGCGUUUCUGUAAAGGAAUGUAAUGAGCGGUAAACUCUUCAAUGCACCAGGGGAGCACACCGCUUACAGAAAUCCUUCUUUUAAAUAACAGUCUAUUUUUUUUUUUUCUGUUCCUUCCUAUUGCCCUAGCAGAAAUUUGGGUUCACCUAGAAGCAGACCUUGAGAUAAGGGUUUAAGUGCAAAUGGUUUAUUAGGGAGUUCAUGCCAGGAAACACCAGUAGGAGAGGGAAUUGAUAGUGGGAAGGGAAGGAAGGUCGACACAAGGUAUGUCAUGGAGCAGGUUACUACUUAGGCAAGGGACGCUCAGUCCUGCGGGGGAUCUCUAGGAAACAGUGGAAAGACACACCUCAGAUUUGUGCCACCUGAGGGCGAAGAACCUGGGGUGUUUAUAUACUGGCUCCCUCAGUCACUGUUAGAGGGCUGCUUCUGGGGAGCGGGUGGGUAAUAAUAUCCUAGUGCUCUACCUUCUACAUGGGGAGGGGCUAUCGAAAUCCAAGAAAGCUCUUGGAUGGUAAAUGCUGGCAGUUGGAAGCCAAGCCAAAUGUAAGUGGCUGAAAUGUUAAUGGCUGUGGGCAGGACACCAGCACAUCUGCUACACUUAGCUUCUCAGAAUACGUGUGAGGAGGUAGCUUCUCCAUUGCCCCUGAGUGUCACUGCAACAGCUCUUCUUUAUUGGUAAGUGUCUUCUAGAUGCAUUUUCUGCAAAUCAAAAAAGGUUUUGAGAGACUUAUUAUUAGGAAAGUGAAGUAUUUCCUUCAAAAUAUUUUCUUUAUACAGAGAUACUAGGAAAUGGAACCCGUGGUCACAACCAAUAGAUUAAUAUCAAGCCUUUUCAAAAUGCUCCCAUCCAUCAUUUUCAGUGGGUGGAGGAUAUAGAAGCAAAUAUAUACAGCCUUUAUUCUCAAGAUUGUUUUUAUUCCACCAUCAGUGGAUUUCCAUGAUUAGCAAAGGCUAAUCUUAGAUGCUUUUUGAAAGUGCCUGUAUAUCCCUUGGUUACCUCAUGGACCAUGGUGUGGCAGGCAGACCACCUGUAACUUGCCCAAGAGGGCAGGGGUCAGACAGAGGUAUGGGAUGCUGUCCUUUAUUCAUAGGUACCAGCUCCAAACACUGAAAACUGAAAAGAGUGAUUAAAUCCAGGCAUCCUAACUCCCAUAUCUGGGAGGCCCUGGACCCUCGUGUUCCUGGUGACCCCUGCUACUGUCUUUAUUCCUAAUGGCACUCUGGCAGCUGAACCAAUCAUGCCCUGGUUGGUUUCCUACUGUUUUGAUGAGUCCAAGUUCCUAACAUAGCAUCAGAUGGGGAUCUUGGUGCUGAGGAGAAUUAAGCUCAUGGAGUCUCUAUUGCACACAGCUGCCACAAAAGAGUGGAGCUGAACUUCCCUUGAGAGGCAUAUUGAUGGACUAUCAUCUUGGUAAAAUGGAAUCCAGCUCAGUUUUGUAUCAGAUCUAAGUGGCAAUCUGUAUCUGUAUCAGAUCCAUGGACUUUUUCUACUCUGACUCCUAAUUCUAGGCCUUGAUAUGUAAUUUGUGAGGUUUCAGAGCUAGAAAAAACUUUAAAGAUCAUCCAGCCAACCUGUCUAUUUUGCUGAUAAGGAUCCUACAUUCCAGAAUGGUUAAGUCACUGACCCAGAGUCAAACAGGGAGUCGAGAGCUGGGCUGAGGGGAGAGAGAGCCAGUCUUUUCUCACUUCCCACGAAGUUAGUUAAUAAAGCAGCAGAAUUUCUCACUGGAUUCAGAAGUAAAUGUUUGGUGCCACAGAGUUUUUUGAAUACCUGCUCAAGAUAGUGCAAGGCUCUGUGGGGAUCUGAAGAACGAGACCCUGUGCCCGCAUGGCUCUUACACUGUCUGCUUGAGCUCUUUGCUCCUUGCUUCCCAGCUCUCCUCCCCUGUUGCCACUCCCAAUUCAUCCUCCAUCCUAUUUUCACUUCUUUUCUUUGUUUUUGGUGCCAAAACCUAGGAACUAUUUUCUCUCUUUUCUUACAGCUUAUGUCCUUCAUUCCAACUCCCUGAUUCCCUUCCUCCACCAUUUCUCUGUUCCCACUCUACCAGGUUCUCUUUCUCUUCUCUGCUACUAUAUUUCUUUUCCUCAUAUUUAUCUAUCACCUCCCUUAAGCUGCCCCUUCCUAGGCCCCCUUGCUCUCCCCUCUGCCACCUUGGAUCCUGGAAGCAUACUUGGUUAUUGUGGUCAGCAGCCUCUGCAAUGGCCGAUGGUCCCCACCUACUGGUCUCCAUGCCCUCGUGGACUCCCUUCCCUUUUGGUACAGGAUGGACCUUGUAAGUAAAUUCUAAUGAAUAAAAUUGACCAAAACGAUGGGACAUCACUUCUAAGCUUAGGUUAAAAAAGGCUGUGGCUUCCACCUUGGGUGCUCUUUGACUAUAAGGAAGCUGGCUGCCAUGUUGUAAACUGACCUACCGAGAGGCCCAUGUAACAAGGAACUGAAGUCUCCAGCCAACAGCCAGCAAGUACCUGAGGUCUGCUAACCACCACGUGAGUAAUCCUCUCCCCGUGGAGCCUGGAAACUGCAGCCCCUCUGAUAUCUUGACUGUAGCCAGUGAGAGACCCCAAGUCUGAGGCACCCAGCUAAGAUGCUCCUGGAUUCCUGAACCACAGAACCUGUAAGAUAACUUUUUUUUCAAUUGAAGUAGUUGAUUUACAAUAUUGUGUUAGUUUCAGGGGUACAGCAAAGUGAUUCAGUUAUACAUAUAUAUUUUUUUUCAGAUUCUUCUCCCUUACAGGUUAGUACAAAAUAUUGCGUGUAGUUCCCUGUGCUAUAGAGUAGGUCCUUAUUGGUUAUUUUAUAUAUAGUAGUGAAAUGUUUGUGUUGUUUUCAGCUGCUAAGUUUGGGGGGUAAUUUGUUAUGCAGCAAUAUUAAAAAUGCAGAGUUGUCCUUUACAGACCCCCACUCAGAAAUGUUUGUCUUCUAUGACUCUGAGCAAAUCGCUGCUGCUGUUUGGGCUUCAGUCUCCUCAUCUGGGAGGCUUUGGGCUUAGAGUCUAGUGUCUCAAGUCUCCUGUCUGUGAAGAUAUAGCCUGUGAGGUUACAACAAGGCCCAUCUCUUCUACUGUUUAGCGUAUGAAGCCCGGUUAAACCCGCACAUCUUUGUAUGUUAAGCUCCACGUCUUUAAAUUUGCCUCACGUUUUUCACUCCUAUUAUCUGAAGUCUGUUUCUAAUUUCUGAUAGAAUUGCAGUGGCCCAUUGUGUGCCUUGCUCUGCAUGACAUGCCAAUUUCAUUUUGGAGUCACAGCUAUUGUCUUUUUCUCCACUAAUCUCAUUUUGCAGAAUUCCAAUAGAACCUGUGAACAGAGAGAGUUGCCCUUGUGCUUGAUCUGGGCGCUGUGUGGCCCCCAAACAGGGGUGGAUGAUAGACAGACAGCCUGUCUGCCACCCGAGGCAUCUUUUCUUGCUUAAAAAUUUGUUCUCCAGAUCGCAGACUCCCUUCCAACGCUAGCAAAGACUGGAACAUAUUAAAUAAGAGCAGAGCUGAAAUUGGAUGGAAUGUCUCAGCCACUUAGAUUCAGACCUCUCUUUCGGGGGAGCACGUGGGGAAGAGGCCGGGACGUGCCCACGUGGACAAUGUGGAGGAAGACAGCUUCCAUCCCUUUCUUAUACCAUUCAAGCCUUAAACAGGGGUAACAUUUUUUCUUAAGCAGGGCCUAUAACCCAGGAUCCAUCACUUAUAUAUGGUGUCCAUAGCAACCAGGCAAUGGUAUGGGAUCCCUUCUAACUGGGGAAUUCCUUUUAUGGCUCAUUUCCGAAACCAGCAUGGCCAGUACAGGAGUCUGCAGUUUCCCAGUUGCUUAGCAACCAGCUCCUAUGCUCUAGUCACUAGGAAAAGCAGACAGUUAAAAAAAAAAAAAAAGUGUAGUCAGAAUCAUAUGUUACAUUCUUUCUACUUUGUCUCUUUAGAAUAAAAUAGCGUGCAAUAAGGAUGCAGGAAAGGGCAACCGCUCCCUGUUGUUAAUGCCUUCACUGCUCCUAGCCGGCUUGCAGGCAGAGAGGGAGGAAAAUGUUAGCAUGCUUUCGGCUGGAAACUAAGCAGCGCGAGCCAUCUGCACGUUGAAAGCUUUACAUUUUUCACAUCUUGUGGGGGCAUCAAGUAAGUGCAGGGCCAGCAAUCUGUGUGCUGCAUUCCCUCCCCCAAACCAGAAAAGCCAGGCUCCACCCAGAGGUGUCACUGGACCACUUCUCCUUGGCUGACAUUCCUGGGAGGAGUGAAUUGGUUUGCUGGGUUUCUGGUAGAAAGGCAAGGAGACCAUGUAGCCCCCUUGAGUUAUAGCUGUGGUUUUCAACCAGGGAUGAUUUUGCCCCCCCAGGUGACAUUUGGCAAGGUCUGCAGACAUUUGGGGUUGUCAUAGUGGUGGGGGAGGGGGAUGUUAUUGAUAACCAGGGGGCAGAGACCAGGGAUGUUGUUAACCAUCCUAUGAUGUUUAGGCAAAGGACAGCCCCCAACACCAAAGAAGUAUCCUGCCCACAGUGCCAGUAUGCCGAGGCUGAGAAACCCUGCGUUAGAGAAUCAGAAGAACCAUCUGUCUUGUUAAAAACAAGCACUGUAGCCGACUAGGAAAAACGUUGACAAGUAAGAUUGGCAUGUGUAAGUCUAACCCAGGAUCUUCUCCACUGAUGCUGUGAGGCUAAGGCUGUGUGUUAGGAAGACACAAUUGGCCUCUCUGUUUCAUCUACAACAAUCAGAUUUCACUCAGUCAUUCCAGCGGCCACAACAUUAUACUGUAGCACAUCCCCUGUCACCCUGGCCACAAACAGAAGCCUGUCCAGUCUGGAUCACUUCAAAUGCCUUGUCACCGCCAUUAUUUCUUUCUUACAAGGCAUCAACCGGAGCUAUACAUUCCCAAAGGUAAUGUUUUCUGGGUGUUUUUGUUCCUCAUUCUUCCUAAUAAUUUUGCAAAACUGCUAGGACUUUGGGGGCCAGAGUCUUUGCUGCACACUCUUGCAAUGAACCCCAAGUCCUUUUUCUGGGUCACAACAGCUGGUUUGUAGUGGGCAGCAUCUCACCUUCUAUAGUUUGUACUUUUCCUCCCUGUCAUGCCCUUAUUCUCAGCAAAGUUUAUCUGCCAAGGUUUUGCCCACUCACCCAGCCUCAUUUAUCUCACCCCCGUUGGCUUCUUGUUCAACACCCAGAAGAGCCGGAUGAGCUCUAAACACUUAGAGAUUUCACUGCCCCUUCUAGAUUGUUGGGUGAUCCCACCUAGUUUUGCCCAAUUGACUCAAGCCUCUCCGGAUUGCAGCUCUAAUGUGUCACUGCUAGAAUUUUGCUCUUCCACAGGGAAUAAUUAAAUGAUAAAUUUAGAGGUUGCUUGCUCAUCCCUCCCAAGCAGAAUGAUGGAAUCUCACCUGGAAGCUGUGACAGCCAGGAAAGGCAGAAGAAGGAUGUUUAUCAGACACACAUGAACUCAGCUCCCCAGAAUGUAGCACACAGGUACCUCAUUUCUGAACAAGUAGCAGAAGCCAGAUCCACAGUCACCCCAGGGCUGUGACCUGCUGGAGAAGGGAUAUCUCGAGGUUUACCAGGAGGACCGAAAGCACUCAAAGUAUGUGGACGUCAGAGCAGUGGCUAAGAAAGAGUCCAGGCGGGCUGGGACAUCAGGCAGCUGAGGGCAAGGCAGGCAGCACGUCUGGGAUCCAGGAUGACAGAUAGGAGAUUUAAAACAGGGCACCAUCAGAGCCCUGAAACAAGGCAAGGUUUUAUCAGGAAGGGGAUCUGAGCCUCAGGAGUGAGAGUAGUACAACCGAGCCUGGCUGAAGACAGAUCCUUAUAACAAUAAAGCAGAAGGGAUAACAGAGAGGGAGGGAGGGGGUUGAUGCCUCCUUUGGGGCAAAUAAUUUUCUCUGUAUCCCUGUAACACUAGUACAGGUUCCUAGAAGAUCAGUCAGUUGGUCAAUUAGCAGGUAAUGUUGAAUAUGUACUCUGUGGGUAUCUUUCCUUGCAUAAAGCUCCCGUAGAACACUAACCUCAUGAGGUGCUCCAAGAAAAACAUUCUAUGCUCACUGAUUUUUGCAAACUGCAAGUCCCUCUUGGAAAUUCACAGUGUACAUUAGCAUUUUAGAAGCUCAAACUCCUGUGAUAUAGAAACCUGUUUUUAAUCCAGUGUUUCUCCAACAGUUGACAACAGGAUCCUUUUGUUACGUGAAAACUAUGAACAUCCUGCGGACACACCUUGAGAGAUAUUGUUCUAAAGCAUUCCUAAUCUGGUGUUCCCAGGCCCUUCGCAACCUGGGCCUGCCCUUGUUUCCCGACUUUACCUUCCUUUAUUUUCCUACAUUCCAGGCACACUGAAUUCUUCCCUUGUACAUGCCCCUAUUUCACAUUUCCUUCUUUUCUCUACAGCAGGUGAUUCAUCAUCUGCCCAAAAAAGGGAAAAAACGCUAAGCCUUACUCACUUCAGCCCCCACCCAUUUCUAGCUAUCCUGUAAGGCUCACCUCAAAGGGGACACUUGAUCCAUCUCUGCCCCAGCCUCCCUGUUACUAUAAACAAUCCAUUUUCUCCUCUGAUCCCUUGUGUCACACUAUCUAUUGCUUUUAGAGCGCUUAGUACCUUUUAAUUUGUGUAUGGCCAUUUAUGCCUUUCUUAUUAGGAGACAAUCCAUGUCUGGUUCAUUUUUAUAUUCCUAGCCCAGAACACAGCUUACUCGUAGGAUUGUCCGAGGGAGCAGGAAGUAAGAAGCUAUGACCUCCAAGGCGGAAGUAUGUUUCCCAACACUCAGGCCAGAGAUGGCAGAUCUCUGGCUCACAGGCUGUGAACUCACACUCACCUGUGGUGAACAGACUCAUCUAUCGCCACGCGAUGCCCCUGGGGCCCAGAUGCCACGCCCCCUCCAAAGCUUCUCAGCACAGUGCUCGAAGUAGUCAUAAUCAACGGGUUAGAGUUGGCAUGACAGAGGAAAUCUAGUUGUCAUCCUUGAUUUGGACUUUUCCACGAAGUGAAAGUUAGGAGAAUUUAGCAAGCUGAAUAUUGGAACUGUUAAUACUUCAGAUCAAGGACUGUCCAUAACAGAAAAGAGCAAUUAGCAAAACUAUUCAUUAUACUUUCAUGUUCAAGUCUAGUCUCAAGGCUAAUUAUUUGUAUAAUUAACAUGUUACCAAAUGCAAAUAAUUGAUGAGCCUGAUCUCUUGGAAUGGAACACAAGUCUUGUGAAAUGUAAAUAGCUGUGAAUUACUAACAGCUUUCCUUUACAUGGCCUGUCUAAAUAGGGCAGCGCCUGUAAAAUUAAACAAUUUAAGUGUAAUCCCAUGUAUGCUAAAAGACAGACAAAACAAUAAGAUGUGUGGUUAAAUGCACAGGUUUUUAAAUUCUCACUCUACUACUUUCUAGCUGUGUGACCUUGGGCAAGUUAAUCUCAGUUUACUCAUUAUUUAUAAAUCUAUGAAUUUAUAAUUUAUUAAAUUAUAAUUUACAAAUUAUAAAUUGUUAUUUAUAAAUCUCAGUUUCCGCAUUUAUAAAAUGGGUGUAACAGCAGCCCCUAGUUCACAGGAUUGUUGAGAACUAAAUGAGGGUUGACUCAUUUGGAAAGAGUACACAAUAAAUGUGAGCCAUUGUUUUCAUUAUUACAUUUUGUACUGCUUAGAUUUUAUUCAGAAAGAAACAUUAGAGGGGAAGGGAACGUAUACAGAUGUCCCUGCUAUAACACCACCUAUGUGUUCCUGAAAAGCUCCAUGGUCUACAAAAUAGCCCACUGAAAAAAACUGGGCUGCUGGGAAAAAAAAUUGGGUUGGGCAGACCACUCAAAAAACCUAUGCAAUUUUGUAACCCAACCAGUAACAAAAAAAAAACCAAUGUCAACAUUAGCAAAAUAUUAGCCCCCACUAAACCUUAGCUUGAAUAUUUGCAGGCUGCAUUCUGCCCUUGAGCCCUGGGGCUUCUUUUGAGCUAUAAGUCCUGGAGUACAUUCAUUUCUAAUAGGGAUCAGUUUCAUCAAAAUUAAACGUGAUUUAAGGAGUAGUGUUCUUCACUAAUCUCUCCUAGUUUAAAGGGAAAUGUCUUCACAGACUCAUCAUCAGUACCCUCAGCUUCUCUAGAAAGCACAACAUGAGGAUAAUAGUGAUUCUUAAAGUCACUGAAUCAGUUGCUUUCUGCAGCUAAAAAAAGGCAGCUAGCUUUUCCUUAAGGCCUUCAUAGAGUGCUAAGGUUUUCUCUUAUUAAAGAGGUAGUUUACUGGGACUUCCCUGGUGGCGCAGUGGUUAAGAAUCUGCCUGCCAAUUAAGAAUCUGCCUGACAAUGGAGGGGACAUGGGUUCGAGCCCUGGUCCAGGAAGAUCCCACAUGCUGUGGAGCAACUAAGCCCAUGCACUGCAACUACUGAGCCUGCGCUCUACAGCCCGCAAGCCACAAGUACUGAGCCCAUGUGCCACAACCACUGAGGCCUGCGUGCCUAGAGCCCAUGCUCUGCAACAACAGAAGCCACCUCAAUGAGAAACCUGUGCACUGCAACGAAGAGUAGCCCCUGCUCGCCACAACUAGAGAAAGCCCGCAUGCAGCAACGAAGACCCAACAUAGCCAAAAAUUAAAAAAAAAAAAAAAAAGAUGUAGUUACUAUGAGAAAGCUUGCCUCUGGUUGCUUCAAAAUAUUAACAUGCUAGAAAAAAAAUUGCAUAGGAACCAAAAUGACUUCCAUAUUACACCAAUUCCCCAUUUACCUAUGGCAUGUAAGGUCAUUCACAUUUAAGAAGCACAUGCUGUAGCAAUACAGUUUGCAUUGACUAUAUCCUACCAGUUGCUGUGGUAGGAGCUAAAUAUAACCAUAUGAUUGAAUCUGCACAUUAAUGUGGUGGGUAUCCUUAUCUCUGAUAAGGCUCAGGGACAUUAACUUGCCUGAGAUCACAAGUUUUUAAGAAGCAAAGCCAGGACUCCUAGCUGGAAUUGAACCGACUCCAAAACUCAUGCUCUUUGAGACAUGACCCCCCUUAAGAGUGGAUGGAGGCAGGAAAGCAGACAGACAUUCCUGGCUGUGGUGAUGAGUGAAAGCCUGAUUCCUAACCCUAAGUCCCUAACGUUUAGUCUCGUUUAAUCCUCACAACACCUCUGCUACUUAGGUAUUCUUACCACCACUUUUAGGCCUACCCAGUUCCUAAAACUGAGGUGUUUCUCCCUAUGUCCUAUAUAUGUCUUUAAGGACACAGUUCCUAAAUAUCUUAGUGUGUCUGUUUACUAGUUUUUUAAAAAGCCGUGUUAUACAUCCCCAUUCUCUCAGGCAGUGAAUUUCACUGUGCACCCAUGUGCACACAUAUACAACUGGAAAUCCUCACAGGUGCAGUUUAUCAAGCAUGUUUCAUAGCACAGACAUAAAAUACUAGCCUCUUCUUUCAGUGUUUUAGAAUUUUUUCUUUGUGCUAUUUAAAUUUGCCUUUUAAACA